UCUCACACUCAUUAAGUAGAAAGGAGAGAGUUGUUACUAGUUGCAUGACAACAUUAAGAAAACAGAUAAUCUCAAAUGAAAAGAACUCUCAUAUCUAAAUUUUUUAGUAGCAAAGACAACAUGUGCUCUUCUGUUUUUUGACUCGUUAGUUCUUGUUUACAGGUCUCAUCAGUAAAUAUAUACUAGUUGGUAAAUGAUACGGUUGAUGACAUCAUUUGGGAUGUGGUGCAAUUCAAACCGGAUAAUUUGGGGUAGGUGUUAGAUGGCCAUGAGAACACCUUAGCUGUGUCAAAUAAUCAGCCAUUGAGUAUCCCUGCAAAGCAUACUACUAUUGGGCAUAGGCCUUCAAAGCAGAGAACUCUUGACCAGUUUGUCAGAAGAUGUGAUAACGUGGAUAGGUCGGAAGUGGGAACAUCAGCCUGACCGGAAACGGCCCUCUCGGUCAUGACUUGUGAGAUAUGCAAAAUCGAUUUCCAUUUUUACAGAUACAUGGCCAGUGGCAAGUGAAUAGGAACUUAAAUGUUGAUGUCUACAUGCAGAAGUUUCCCUGUAGUAUUAACCAGAUGUGCUUACAUGGGGAAUUCACCUGUGAUGACACAAAUGCCGUUUUGAAGCUGAAAUCCAUUGUACAACAAAUAAUAGAUUGAGUAGAACUGGCUACACUAAACUAUGUUACUUGUACUGGAGAUAAUGGUUUGAAUAUGUGAAAUAUGUAUUGGAAGAAAAUGUUGAUAAAGUCACCCAUUAGAUUUUAGGUUUCCACUUCUUGUUCUUAACUUUUUGCUCCCCUAUGUUUUGUUUUAGUUUGGGGCUCUGUACAGAGUAUGACAUUAUCAUAUAUGAAUGAGACUUGUAAAUUUCUUUACUC